GACAGAGGUGCCAAGCGUUAGGCGGAAUCACUGGGCUUAAAGCGUGUGUAGGCGGAUAUCUAAGUACCUUGUGAAAUCCCACGGCUCAACCGUGGAACUGCUUGGUAUACUGGCGGUCUUGAGCCAUCCAGGGGCAGUCGGAACAGACGGUGGAGCGGUGAAAUGCGUAGAUAUCGUCUGGAACGCCGAAGGUGAAAACAGACUGCUGGGGAUGAGCUGACGCUGAGACACGAAAGCCAGGGGAGCGAACGGGG
rnacentral:rRNA from 1 species